rnacentral:rRNA from 1 species
AACGUGGGUAACCUGCCUUAUAGUGGGGGAUAGCCUUUCGAAAGGAAGAUUAAUACCGCAUAAGAUUGUAGUAUCGCAUGAUAUAGCAAUUAAAGGAGCAAUUCGCUAUAAGAUGGACCCGCGUCGCAUUAGCUAGUUGGUGAGGCAAUGGCUCACCAAGGCGACGAUGCGUAGCCGACCUGAGAGGGUGAACGGCCACAUUGGGACUGAGACACGGCCCAGACUCCUACGGGAGGCAGCAUG